UACGUAGGCAGCAAGCGUUGUUCGGAAUUACUGGGCGUAAAGAGUGUGUAGGCGGUGCUCUAAGUUCGGUGUGAAAUCUCCCGGCUUAACUGGGAGGGUGCGCCGGAAACUGGAGUGCUUGAGCGACGGGAGAGGAAAGGCGGAAGUUCCUGGAUGUAGCGGUGAAAUGCGUAGAUAUCAGGAGGAACACCGUUGGUGGUAGACGGCUUUCCUUGGAC
rnacentral:rRNA from 1 species